rnacentral:rRNA from 1 species
AUGGCGGCGCCCACCCGGAGAGGUGGCAGCGGCCGGAAGAAGAUCGUCAUCCGCCGGAUCGAGCAAGAGGAUGCCCGGUUCGUCUGCUACUCCAAGCGCCGCCAGGGGUUCUUCAGCAAGGCCACGGAUCUGGCGGUCCUGACCGGCGCCCAGGUGGCCGCCCUCGCCUUCUCUCCCCGCGGCAGGGCCUUCUCCUUCGGCCACCCCUCCGUCGACUCC